rnacentral:rRNA from 1 species
AUUGAACGCUGGCGGCAUGCCUUACACAUGCAAGUCGAACGGCAGCACGGGUGCUUGCACCUGGUGGCGAGUGGCGAACGGGUGAGUAAUAUAUCGGAACGUACCUUAUUGUGGGGGAUAACGCAGCGAAAGCUGUGCUAAUGCCGCAUAAUCCCUAAGGGGGAAAGCGGGGGACCGUAAGGCCUCGCGCAAUUAGAGCGGCCGAUACCUGAUUAGCUAGUUGGUGAGGUAAAGGCUCACCAAGGCAACGAUCAGUAGCUGGUCUGAGAGGACGAUCAGCCACACUGGGACUGAGACACGGCCCAGACUCCUACGGGAGGCAGCAGUGGGGAAUUUUGGACAAUGGGGGCAACCCUGAUCCAGCAAUGCCGCGUGAGUGAAGAAGGCCUUCGGGCUGUAAAGCUCUUUUGUCAGGGAAGAAACAGCAGCUCUAACACAGUUUGCGAAUGACGGUACCUGAAGAAUAAGCACCGGCUAACUACGUGCCAGCAGCCGCCGUAA